UGUAAGAUAUCCUAAUUUUGCUGUUGUCUGAUGCAUAUCAUUUGUACAAAAUCAUGUGAAACAGGCAGGGAAGAAGCAGUGUGUAUUUUGAAGACAUGGAAACAGACCUCAAGAAUAUAAAUGGUUUACCUAAGAUUCACACAUAGUAAAUGGCCUAACGCACCUAAAUCAGUUUAUUUGACUCUGAUGCCUCACUGAUAACCCACCAUUCCACAACUCCUGCUCUUUCCACCCACUACAACACCAGGUUAGGACUGACAUCCUCACCAGCUGUUUGUGCCCUUUCAGAAUCCUGACACUACCUUCCUUCUCAGUCCCACUUAAAGGGAGCAAGAUUUUUUCGAAGGAAGGACUUUUGUGGAUAAUCCUGCUGUCAUAUCUACUAACCCGCCUAAGCAGAUUAGCAGCUUCAACCAGGCUUUUGGAGACUGCACAGACAGAGGUGAAAGAAGAAGGGAUUUCUUGCCUGCCAUCCCCAGUCAGCCAGAUCCACCUCUGCAUGAGUGAGAUGACAGCCUAUUUUAUAGGUAGACACUUCAAGUCAUCUACCAGCAGAGAGUGUUUACAAAGACUGAGGAACACUGAUGUUCCAUGGUGAACAGAGCCACAGGGACCUGCACAGGGACUGAAAACAAGAGGAGGGAGGAGGAGCGCGUGAUCUCAAGGAGCCAAAACCGGGAGAGACAAGUCAAAAAUGGAGGGAAGAUCGAUUCCUUCCUUUUGGGCUGCAUCAGACAUUUUUAAUAAAAUAUGAGAUUUUCU